GCAAGAUUAAAACUCAAAGGAAUAGACGGGGACCCGCACAAGUGGUGGAGCAUGUGGUUUAAUUCGAAGAUACGCGAAGAACCUUACCUAGCCUUGACAUAUUUUAGAACUCCGUAGAGAUACAGAGGUGCCUUCGGGAGCUAAUUUACAGGUGCUGCACGGCUGUCGUCAGCUCGUGUCGUGAGAUGUUGGGUUAAGUCCCGCAACGAGCGCAACCCUCGUCACUAGUUACUAACGGUUCGGCCGAGGACUCUAGUGAGACUGCCUUCGUAAGGAGGAGGAAGGUGAGGACGACGUCAAGUCAUCAUGGCCCUUACGGCUAGGGCAACACACGUGCUACAAUGGUUGGGACAGUGAGACGCGAUACCGCGAGGUGGAGCAAAUCUAUAAACCCAAUCUCAGUUCGGAUUGUAGUCUGCAACUCGACUACAUGAAGCUGGAAUCACUAGUAAUCGUAGAUCAGCUAUGCUACGGUGAAUACGUUCCCGGGUCUUGUACUCACCGCCCGUCACACCAUGGGAGUUGAUUUCACCCGAAGCGGGGAAGCUAAACUGGCUACCCUCCACGGUGGAAUUAGCGACUGGGGUGAAGUCGUAACAAGGUA
rnacentral:rRNA from 1 species